GCAAAUUUGAGGCUAGCCUCAGCAACUUAGAUCCUAUCUCAAAAAAUAAAAAGGGAGGGAAAAAAGAUGUCAGGUCAAGUGAUGUCUAUGGCUUUGAAUUCCAUUUUGUAAGGGCUAUCAAUGGCAUGAGGGGUAUACAUUGUCGUUGGGUCAAGUUUCCCAGGAUGGUUGACUAAGGGAGUAUGGAGUGUUGAAUUCUGGGGUCUAGGAUGCACAUGGAGGCUACAGAUAAUAGAACCCACAGUGCCAUGAAGUGUGAGAGGUUAUGGAAUGGGGAGAGGCAUACUACAAAAGAGGUUGUGGGUUGGAGGAGGAACAGAUUCUGGGGCACAUACAUAAGUGUCAUCUCCUAAGCAUGGGCAACUGAUGGGUGCCAUUUAGAUCCUUGAAGGUAUGGGGUACAGCUUCUCUGCCCCCCCACCCAUUUGAGCUCAGUUUGUCUAUGGGCCAGAAUAUGGCCCGGUGGCUUCAGCUCCACGUGUGCUCAGCUGUGUGCUCUGCAAACCCCACUGAAGAUGAGCAAAAUCCAUCCAGCACAUGCUGAUGGUUUAGCUCACUGAGAAAGAAGCAGGAGUCUUCCUGGACUGGCAAGGUCAAGUCAUUCCCUAU
rnacentral:lncRNA from 1 species